AAACCCUAACCCUCUUUUCUCCAAACCCCUGAUCGUUGCUAUCUCCAAACCCUAGCCCUCCUCUUCUCCAAACUUUCGCAGUCGCCUGACGCACCACCAUCACAAACAGAGUAUCAUGUCUGUUCUACUUUCUAUUCCAAACCCUAACCCAUCAACCGAUAUGGAUUCUUGAUGUAACUGUCGCUAUUCCGAGCUCUCUGGUUCGAUUUCAGCUGAAUCGAGUUCCAGUGGUUGAGCGAAAGCUCUGUCGUUCGAUUACGAGAAGAGUUACAGGGGAAUUUGGGAGAAAUCUGCAGAUUUUGAGUUCCUUUUGCAUUGGUUUUGGCCGAAAUGGAGAAUCCAGAGGUUUGAAAUUGGAAUUUGUGAGAGAAACUUAGAGAUUUAAGGAGUUUCUGUGUAGCGAAGCUCUCUGCGGCUUUAAUGGCGGACCUGCAGCAUCCUUAUGUAGUUCUUUGGAGGAAAUGCUUGCAGAUUUCUGAUCUCUCGUUGCUUCUUUUAAAGGUGUUGUGAAUAUGCACUACUGAUCCUAGAGUACUGGGCUGAUGUGCCUGAAAUUCAGCGAUCAGCCGAUCUUUAUGAAGAUCUACUAAAAUGUUCUGUUGCAGAUGCAAUGAGUACCUCGCCGUGUGUUUCUUGCUCAGGAUUUGCUAGAAGAAAGAAUGUGCAUGCCUGAACUCCAGGGGUUGCAAUUUUGCAUAUCUAUUUUUCUCAUUUCUUACUAAUAAACCAAAAGUCAUUUCUCUCUCUGAACUGCUCCUGGUAAUGGGAUUAGCACAAUUUGAGGUUUUAAUGCUUGGUAUUGGUUCUGACUUGGUAAUGACUGGACCUGUUCUAUUUGUGUGUGGAAAUGAUGUGAGAGUCAAAUGGGUUUUGGAUAUCUUGGAUUAGAUGUUCUGCAUUACAGGUUUCGAGGAUGGACUCAGGCUGGUCAAGGUCAGAGGAGAAGCCGUGUAGGUGGGCAUCUAAGCUGGCUCAAUGGGUAGUUUCUCUUUCCAUUGCUUAGGAAGUUGCAGAUGCUGCUAACAGUACUAUGGUUGGUGUCAUAGAACUAGAUUCAGAAAAGGUCCAGCUGCUAUGCGAUGCAGCUAAUGAAGAAGUAGAUGAGAAAAAUAAAGAUCAAAUUGCAAACUUCCUCUGUCCAGGUAACUAUGUUGUUUCUGGAGGUGUGAAAGCAGUGGAAGCUAAGGCAAAGUCAUUUAAGGCUCGAAUGAUGGUUAAUUGCUCCUAGAUUAUUAAUUACCAUUUUUCCAUAAUUUGAUAAAAGCUU